UGGCGACCGGCGCACGGGUGAGUAACACGUAUCCAACCUGCCGAUGACUCGGGGAUAGCCUUUCGAAAGAAAGAUUAAUACCCGAUGGCAUAGUUCUUCCGCAUGGUAGAACUAUUAAAGAAUUUCAGUCAUCGAUGGGGAUGCGUUCCAUUAGGUUGUUGGCGGGGUAACGGCCCACCAAGCCUUCGAUGGAUAGGGGUUCUGAGAGGAAGGUCCCCCACAUUGGAACUGAGACACGGUCCAA
rnacentral:rRNA from 1 species